GACACUCUCUGGCUCAGCUGCUUAGGGCAGGGUGCUGAUAAUGCCAAGGUUGCAGGUUCAAUCCUUGCAUGAGACA